UUUCUUUGCUGAGAAUGGUAUCCUUCACCAAACAUCUUGCUCUCAUACACCACAAUAAAAUGGUGUAGUUGAGAGAAAACAUAGACAUCUUCUGGAAACAUCCAGAGCAUUAUUUUUCAGUCCCAACUUCCUAUUAAAUUCUGGGGAGAUUGUGUCUUUACUGCCACCUAUCUCAUCAAUAGAUUUCCUUCCAAACUACUUAAUAAUGCAUCUCCUUAUGAGUUACUUUUUGGACAGAGUCCUUCUUAUAACCAUCUUAAGACUUUUGGCUGUCUUUGCUUUGCUUCUGUACCCAAACAGCAUAGAGACAAAUUUCAUCCAAGAGCCGAUCCUUGUGUUUUCCUGGGAUAUCCACUAGGUAAGAAGGGAUACAAACUGUAUAACUUGAAAACCAAACUCACAAUCAUAUCCAUGGAUGUUACUUUCCAUGAGGAUGUUUUUCCUUUUGCCUCUUCAAGAAGUACCUCCUCUGUUCCCCGUUCCAUUGUUCUUUCAUUCCCUAUCUGCUCCCCUGCUAUUGAUGAAUCAUUACUCAGUCCUUCCCCAACAUCUGAUACUUCUCCUUCCCUUUCUCCUUCUGUCUCUAAUCCCUGUCCUACUGCUGCUGUUCCAUUACAUACCACUACCACAACUUCCCAUUCUUUUCCACCUCCAGAACCUGUGUUACCUUCUCCUAGAAGAUCAAGCAGGCCUUCCCUGUCUGCUCCCCUGCUAUUGAUGAAUCAUUACUCAGUCCUUCCCCAACAUCUGAUACUUCUCCUUCCCUUUCUCCUCCUGUCUCUAAUCCCUGUCCUACUGCUGCUGUUCCAUUACAUACCACUACCACCACUUCCCAUUCUUUUCCACCUCCAGAACCUGUGUUACCUUCUCCUAGAAGAUCAAGCAGGCCUUAUGUCCCUCCUGCACAUCUUCAACAAUACAUCUGUAACCUUCCUCCUUCCAUCUUUGGCACUAGUUCUUUUUCCACUUGCUGUAACAGCUCAGUUCACACUGCACAUGUUGAGCCUACCUUUUACAACCAGGCUGCUUCUGAUCUUGCCUGGCAGG
rnacentral:lncRNA from 1 species